AAAUUUAAAUGGCCUGAACCCCCGAAACCCAAAGAACACCUCAAAUGGGACUGAAAACAAAUAUUCGUAAAUGUCCCCUGCAUAAUUGUAUCUGAAUUACGUAUGUAUCUGACGCAUGUAUGAACAUCUCACUUCAAGCCACUAUGCAUCAUUCAUGCCCUAAACAUCAAAUUGGUGACGAAGUUCCCUGAAUUUCGAUCUGUAAGUAUCAUAUUCGCAUCUUAUCGUAUUUAAUUCAUGAUUUCGUAGAUUAUCUCACUCGAUUUUGUUGCAUAACAUAGAUAAUUUUACAGCAAUUGAAGUAUGAUUUUAGUAGUUGCUAUUAACAGUAGAUUAUUAUGAAUUAAAUACGAUAAGAUCCGUAGAUUAUUAACUAUAGUAGAAGAAAACCACUAUAGUUACUAUGUAUGUACACCACUAAUUAUGCUAUGCAAUACUUGUACUGUGUGUAGUUUAUCAAAAUACACUGAUAUAGAUAUAUAUGCUAUUUUACAUGUAUAUUUAACAAAAACCUAAAAUCCAGCUAUUUUAGAGCGAUAUUUAAUUACUAUUUAUAUUAAAUAACCAAAAAAUAAGUAAAUUGUCGCUAUCUAUCGCUACAACCCUAUAAUAGCGAGCCUAGACCUAUACGCUGGCGAUUGCUACGCUCGCUAUUGACAACUAUGCACACAAGUUAUAAUUUUCUUACAUUAUCUCUCAGUUUUACAUGAAUUACUUAAGUGUUGGUUUUUUUAUAUUAUCCUACACGAUAUAGGAAAUAUAUUCAGGCUGUUUUGAUUAGCAUUACCCUGAAAGUAGGAGAUACCCACCCACCAACAUUCAAAAGUAGUAUUUAGCUGAUAAUCAAUGGUUGCUGAGUUAGUGAGAGGCAUGACUUCCAAGUUUGAAGGUAACAACUGCAGUGCAGAAGCAGAAGAAGAAGAUGCUCUUCCUUCUUAUCACAUUGUAGGCGAUGUAUGUGUUGAGUGAGUACACUAAUGCGUGAGAUCUUGGAUGAGAAAAUCGGCUUCUCUUGGUAGAGGAUGCUUCCGGUAGGAGUAGUACAAGGAAAUGGGAUAGUGUGUAGUCUUAGGUAACAUGAAAUUGGAUGAAUCCAUCUAUUUGUUAAGUGUAAUCGAUGACAGAAGAUGGGAAAGUUUGCGAACCACAAGUUCAAGGUAAAACAACACUAGAUCCCACAAAAGGUCUUACUUGCUUGUUGGAAGUGUGGCAAGCAGGGGCGGACUUAGAAGGUUAUUAGGGAUCCCUCAACCCCGUUUCCAUAGUGUAAAAAUACACCUUAACUCCGUUUUCGUAGUGUAAAAAUACCCCUCAACUUCGUCUCGGUUAUACAAAGGAUACCCCUGGUCUAAAAAAAUAAAAAAAUGGUAUACCCAUAGUUGUCGAUAACGAAUAGCGACAAGGCACCUAUAGGCUACGUUGCAAAAAAUGGGUUUCUGAACUGGAAUUUAAUUGAACUCGUGCAUGUCCGCACGUCUUGCGGACAAGAAUGCAGCUCCGAAAACGGGCCCGCGUGUGCCAGUUUUUGCACAUUAACCGGCUGUCGCUAAGUUCGCUAUUCGUCGCUAAGACCCAUAUAGCGACAAGAAGGCCGGUUUUAAACUGAUUCAUUCGGUUAUUAUUACACGUAUAACCAGAACUGAACCAUAAAAGCUGGCUAUGAAAAAAAAUCAUAACCGGAUCAUCAAUUUGGUUAUUUCGGUUCUGUUUUUUCAUAGUUUGGUUAUUUCGGUUCUGUUUUUUCAGUUAUGCUCAGUGUUGGAAAAAUUGGGAUUAAUAGUCAACUAAUCGCUAGUUGGCUGGAAUAGGCCAUUAUGGCCGCCAGAUUCCCGCUAGAUUUCAGCCAAAACCUGUAAAUUUCGGCCUGAUUCCGGCAAAAACCUGUAAAUUCCUGCGAUUAAUCCUGUAUACGACAUGGGUUAAAAUGUGUCUACUUAUAAAAAUGUGUGUACUGUAGAUAUUAAACUGAAAAUUACAUAUAAAAAUCCCAAUCCGAUUAAUCACGACUAAUCUUGAUUAAUCACUAGUCGAUACCCCACCGGCUGACUAGUGCCUAGCGAUCCUUACAACAAUGGUUACGGUUUAGUUAUUCGGUUUUUCUACUCAACCCUAGCAUAAAAUCCGUGACAAAGUUAAAGUUGUAAUUUUCGGAUGAUUGAGUCAUUAAUGCUAUUUAAUAUCUCCGAGUUCUAUAUAAACGGCCUACCCCCCCAAUUGCUUUGAUAUCAUCGAACCGGUGGUUGGUCCUACAUACAAAACCCUAAAAUCAUAGUAACAGAGCGCCAGUGAUUCGUUCGCCACAUACAAUGGCAGCAGAUGAGCGAUCCCUGAUUGAGCUCCCAAAAGUCAAUCUGGAAGCUGUUCUUACUAAGUUGCCGUUACGAUCUCUCCUUGUGUUUCCAAGUCUCUGUUGAAUCUCAUUAAAAAUGAUUCAGAGUUUGCACAAGUGCAUCUUGCAAAAUCAGAACCCCGAUUAAUGAUCCAGUGUCUCUUAGAUCCAAGUCUUCACUUGAUUGAUGUGGGUACCGAUACUGCUUCGCGUCCAAUUUUAACAUCCCUUUAAAUGGCUUUGAAAUAACACAUUCGUGUAAUGGGUUGUAUGUUAUACUACAACCCUGUUACUUACAGGUGAAUAAUACACAUUGCUUCCUGAAACUAGAAUUCGUUAUAGAACUGUUUUUUACUGCCCAAAAACACACCGAUUUGAAGUUCUUCUAUGCAUGUUUUACCGGUUGAAACCUUAUUCAGAUGUUUCAUCUCAUAUUGGAUUAGAUCCGAUUCCGGCCUCCGAUUCAGAUCCUGAUUAAUCUCAUUGGAGUAGGGAUGUGAGAGGUACCAACUUGGAAGUGGUAAAGGUGGCACCAAGGCUUGCUGAUCCAAAUUCGAGCGCGCGUAACAAUCUGGAGAUAUCAACUUUCUCAGAGGAGGCCGGGACUGCAAAUUGAACCGUUGGAUGUUCCUUUCCUAACCGCUGUCAUCUAGCUGCAUAGCGGGUUGAUCGUGACCUUAAGGGGUUCAAUCCUAGUAGUUAUGUGUUCUGGUACUAGUUUAAUCAAUGUUUAAAUGUUUGAUGACUUUUGUUUGGUUUCUGGGCUAGUUCUUCUUUUAUAUUGGUUUGGUUUGGUUGGCUUAACGAAAAUGUUGGUUCGGCCACUAAGAUUUUAG
rnacentral:lncRNA from 1 species